rnacentral:rRNA from 1 species
UACGUAGGGGGCAAGCGUUGUCCGGAUUUAUUGGGCGUAAAGAGCGUGUAGGCGGCCAUACAGGUCAGCUGUGAAAACUCGAGGCUCAACCUCGAGACGUCGGUUGAAACCGUAUGGCUAGAGUCCGGAAGAGGAGAGUGGAAUUCCCGGUGUAGCGGUGAAAUGCGCAGAUAUCGGGAAGAACACCAACGGCGAAAGCACUCUGCUGGGCCGACACUGACACUGAGAGACGAAAGCUAGGGGGAGCGAAUGGG